UCUUCAAAAGCCUCAAGUCUCAUCUGCAUUAAAGCUCUCCAUUGAACCCUCUCACAAAAAUUGGAGCCAAAGAAACAGUGCCUGCCAAAAGAAUGUAUGUCCUGUGGCCAUAAGUUUUCAUCAGUAGAGAAGCAUAAACUUGGUGUGAUGAGUUUACAGUCAGGAGCAUAGAGCAGAACAUUUUACACAGCAGCAUCCAACGUGGUAAGAGUAAGUAUGUUUCAGUUAUAUGUGUGUGUGAGUGUGUGUGUGUGUUUGUAUUUGUGUCAUUAAAUAAAGUGCAUUUUUUUCCCCUAUCAGUUGCAGUCGCUGAUCCAGGUGUAUUAUUUUAGCACUAAUGCUUUCCUUCGCAUUUGGGUUCUUAGGAGACUUUCUUUUCACUUCAU
rnacentral:lncRNA from 1 species